GGGGAGAAAAUCAGGUGUAGUGUUGGGGAAUCUCAGGAAGCAUGGAAGUUUUGAAGGAUGCAGUGCUCCGACAACUAACAACUGAUGCCGGCAGUUUGUUCCAUGCUUCAGCAACUCUUAGCGUAAGUAUGAGUCUAAUUUCAACGUAAUUUUCUAUGAUUACCAUUGGUUAGGAAUGUAACUAUAAGUACUUGUACUUAAGGUUAGUAUUUAUUGAGAGUAUAGUUCUUCACUUGUAAACUACCUAAUAUUAUGGUACAACAUAUUCCUUGCCUAGCUUUAAUCUAAACAUGAUAUUAGGUUAAAUUUUAAGAUUACUUUUGUUAUAAUUUAUAUUCUCCAUGUGAACACUAAGCUAAGCUAAUCUUUUUCUGAAUCACAAAAUCUUUCUAAUUUCAUAGUGUUAAGAUAUCUCCCUGUGGAUAGGAUGUUAUUCUACAGUACUCAGUCUUUCCUCACUGCAAGAACGAAACUCAGUAUUCCAAAUUCUACAUCUGUUCCACAGUGAUAACCAAAUGUCUUGGCAUGGACAUAAUAUAUUGUUGGUAUUAGAAUAUCACCUGGCGAGUACCUGAUUGCUUUCUGUUAGUCUGUCAACUUGGUUCUUCAUUCUCUUCCAAGGUUUUCCUAGGUACUAACCAAAACCCACUAUUAGGACGAAUUAUAGUGCUAGUAUUGUUACUCUCUAGAAUGUAUUUCUCAGUUAAUCAUAAUUCUAAAUCUAUUUCAAACAACUUCUGUACCUUGGUGUUUUACAAUUUCAGUCAGGUUUAUAAUGAUACUAUUGGCAGUCUUUUCUUGAGCCAACCCAGAGUGUACAACAAGUACUGUAUGUUUAAAAUUAACGAGAAAAUAUCUGGGAUAACUUGACCCUUUCGUUACCAACCUGGCUGAAACCGGCUCUGGCUCUGAGUACAAAUAUCUUGUUUUCAUAAGUUUUGGAUUAAAAUCUUCCACCAAACCUUAGUCACAAUUUAUGUUCCUAACACUAGCUGAAUGAUAACUAAGUUAUUUUAAUAAAUUCUUUGUUAUAUUUAAAGUAAUUGAAAGAAACACAGAGCUUCUGAAAAUAAAUACGGUAACGAAAGGGUUAACGUUAGUGAGAUCUGAAAGCAUAUAUGGUCAGAUAACUCCCUGGCUCCAUAAAAAUGGAUUCCUAACUAGAAAAAAAAAAUAAUGUUGAACUAUACAUAUGCAUUAAUAUUAUAUAUCCUACUAUAUGUUAUCAUGGAACCUGAUAUAUAUAAAUGUAUAUGCUGGAAAAUAACUCAAUACUUUGAAAGUUGUCUCCAGUAUUCUAUGUUUUAAGCAGCUAUUUCUUAUUUUUCUAUGUAUCAACGGCAGCUUCAAAUGUUUUGUUUUAUCAAGUAAAAAAGAAAAAGAAUAUAUAUAUAUUUUGCACCAAUGAAUAUAAUGUAAAGAAGAGAUGAGAUUUCAUUGAACUGUCUGAAAAAUUCUUCAAAACACUUCAAAUUUGAAAGCUAUCCUUUUUACAUAUUUUUUUGUUAUUUUAACUAUAUGCAAAAGCAAAAGCCCGAGGCUUUUAUUGUAAAAUUUGAUACGAAGUUUACAUUCACUUUUUUAUUGUUUAUGUAAGGCAGCUAUUUUACAAGCAUGAUUCAUAAGCAGUGAAUAUGCUGAAAGACAAGGAGAGAUAUUUCAUAUUUUGAAGGGUAACUUAGGGACACAAAGUCCUUUGAGAAUGUGAAUGUGUUACCCAUUUCUGGGAUUUUUAAAUCCAUUUCUACAUGUGUUAUAUGUAUCUUCUCUCAUCUGAAAUUGCCUUCCUUAUUCUUAAUAUUCACUUGCAUGCACACAAACACACACACACUUGUUUAUAUUAGAUUAUAGAAAUUUGUUGAGAAACAGGUCUCUGUAAAAAGUUUCUCUUUAUGAUUUAGAAUGUGUGAUGUUUGAAUUUUCAAAUGAACCAUCAUUAAAACAUUUGUCUAUUAAAAUGUAUUGAGGUAGAAUAGUAUGAAUGGAAUUGUUAAAGAAUUCUUUAUUUUCAGUGUAUGUUCUCCCUUGUCAAUGUAGUGUAUUAAAUACAAAUUGAAUUUAGUCAGUAGAGAAAUGAAAACAGGCGAGUUCAGUCAAUGUUGAUGAUCUGGAUGUUACAGAAACUGUUUUUAUUUUAUUUUAUUUAUUAUUUUUUUACACCUUAUAUCUAAUUUGCCUUGAGUAUAAUUUUGGUAGGAUGCCAAAAAAAAAAUAUAUAUAUUUAUCUUUUUUUAUUCUUUUUAUAUCCAUUUUGCUACCAAUGAUUUGGUUUUGUGGUCUUUUGUGCCAGUUUAAAAUUACAUGAAAAAUUUCUUUUGGCAGCUGAACAUCAAAGCUUGUAUAUAACAUACCUGGUCUGUUUGACAAUGAAAAUUAAAGAUCAUAAAACAGGACUUUUAUAUACUCAAAGGCAUUAUUGUAUCAAACUAUAGAUCUUGUUUAUAGAGUUUUCUUGCCUUGAAUGGGAUAUUGAAGUAAAACCACAUUUAUGCUUGCCAUUUUUAUAAUUUUUUCUGCAUAACUGCAUAAUAUAACUUAUUUCUAUUUUUGUAAAUUAUGCAGGUUAAAAUUAUGUUGUAUUACUGAAAAAAAAAUCAAUAUUAGAUGUUACUUUACUUUAUAAAAAAAUAUGAUAAUCUUUAUUACUCACCCCAAAUAAUGAUAGAUUUUUAUCUUGCAAUUCUUCAUUUCACUCAAAUCAUUCCAUUUCUUCAGAAGUAGGCAUGCUAUUUUAUCAUGGUAUAUAUACCUUCUUAUACACAAAUGACACUUGCCUCCUAUCACCCACUGCCACAAAGUUUGAUUGUUCAAUAUUCCUAUCAACAAGCCACUUUGCAAUGUUCAGGUUUUACUAGUCAGACAAUAUGAUGUUACCGAGUGUAGGUAUGCUCAUGGUGAUCCAAACUUGCAACUCAGUUUUA